rnacentral:rRNA from 1 species
UACGUAGGGUGCGAGCGUUGUCCGGAAUUAUUGGGCGUAAAGAGCGUGUAGGCGGCCAGGUAGGUCUGCUGUGAAAACUCGAGGCUCAACCUCGAGACGCCGGUGGAAACCAUCUAGCUAGAGUCCGGAAGAGGAGAGUGGAAUUCCUGGUGUAGCGGUGAAAUGCGCAGAUAUCAGGAAGAACACCCGUGGCGAAGGCGGCUCUCUGGGACGUGACUGACGCUGAGACGCGAAAGCGUGGGGAGCGAACAGG